rnacentral:rRNA from 1 species
UGCAGAGGUUUCAAGCGUUGUUCGGAUUCAUUGGGCGUAAAGGGUGCGUAGGCGGCGCGGUAAGUCGGGUGUGAAAUCUCGGAGCUUAACUCCGAAACUGCAUUCGAUACUGCCGUGCUUGAGGACUGGAGAGGAGACUGGAAUUUACGGUGUAGCGGUGAAAUGCGUAGAUAUCGUAAGGAAGACCAGUGGCGAAGGCGGGUCUCUGGACAGUUCCUGACGCUGAGGCACGAAGGUCAGGGGAGCAAACGGG